UUAAUUCAUUUUAGAAUAUUUUUGCUAGUUUCCAAAAUCACUAAUUUCCCAAACUUGGAAACAUAGCAAGUUUUUUGGAUCGGUGUUGUCAGAACAUGGUUGAUUUUGGAUAAAAUUGAAUAUAGUAACGCUAAGUUAAAAGCGAAGUUAUUUAUAUUUAAAUAUAAUUUAUGAAAAAAAUAAUUUUUGUAGAGUAAUGUUAAUUGUGAAAUCAAGUUAUAAAUGUUUCAGUGCAAAAUUUACUCUAUGUAACUUCUAACAUAAUUAAUAUGAAAUUUAAAUUAGUUCUCCAAAAUGAGUCUUAAACAUUUAUUUGUCAUUCAAAAUUAAUUUUACUUAAUCUGAGAUUUUUCAGCUGUGAACCAAACACACAUUUAGCAUAUGCAGUAUACAUCUACAUACAUUUCCUAUUAUGGUGUUAAUCCAUUUGAGAAUCCAUAAAGUAUCAAAUAAGAUGAAAUGAAAUAAAGAUGGUUGAUUAUACUCUCAAAGUAUGACAUGUAUAUUAGGCUGAGUGUGGAUGAAAAUAAUUGUAUGUAUAUUUAUCUGCAGGCCUUUGUUUGAAGAGUUCUCUGGUAAGACAUCAGUUUGGGGCUCCUUAUCACCUGAAGUGCAAGAAGUGUCUCUUAAAGUGGAUUCAGAAUUUCAAAAGCUUUUCAUAUCCAAGGUCAAGAAAGCCUCAAGUAUCAUCCCCCCUUCCUCUUGAAUGGUGCACUCCUGUAUCAUUAAAAAUAAUGUAUUAAAAACAGUAUUGGCUUGUUCCUGGGUCAAAUUAAACAUUUUAGCUUGUGGUUGUGAUAGUUGUAUGAGUAUCUCUAGGUUUGGUUGCUAUCUUGGUGUUAUGCCACGAUAUACAAGCCCAACUCCUUAAGGCUACCCCACAUGCAUGUGGGGGAUGGCUCACUUCCAAUGUGAGAAAGUGUUGUGCCAAAAAAAAGCUGGCUACCUUUUUCCCACCAAAACGUUUGUACCUUUUAAUUCUAGGCUUAAUUGCACUUUUGGUCCCCCAACUAUGACCUUCCUGCAAAAAUCGUCCCUAAACUUCAAAAUUAACAAAACUCGUCCCUCAACUAUACACACAGUUGCACUUUUGGUCUUCCGUUAGCAUUCCGUCAGAAAUCUAACAGAUUGCUGAUGUGGUAUUAUUUAAUAAUAUUUUAAUUGAAAAAUAUUAAUAAUAUAAUUAAGGCUUAAUUGCACUUUUGGUCCCCCACGAAAGCGAUAUGUGUCAUUAGAGUCCCUAAACUUUAAAAAUCCCAUUUUGCCUCCCUGACGUUAACCCCCGUUAGCACUUUUGGUCCCUCCUCACUUUUCCAUCCAAAAACUAACGUUUUCUGGAUUUUUCCAGAAAAAUUCAUCCACUUCUUCAUCUUCUUCAUACAUCCUUCAAUCAUCUUCAUCAUACUCUUCAUCUUCUUCAUUUUUUUUCCAGAAAAUCUAAGUUCUUCAAAACCAAAAACUCUACAACCUUCAUUCUUUCUUCAUCUUCCCAAAUUCAUCAUCUCCAAGCUUCACUAAGAAUACCAUAACCCCCAUAGGUCUUCUCCAGAAAAUCCAAGUUCUUCAAACUCAAAAAUAUCAAACCUCAAUUUUUUUCCAAAUUUUUUCAUCUUCUUCCUCUAUCUUCAAAAUCUUCAUCAUACACUUAGCAAACAACCACCACAAAAAUCCUCAAACCAUCAAUAACUGACACAUUGAAUCUGUUAUACCUUAAAAAAAUAAAAUAUGUGCUCGUUAAUUAUAGUCCAGGAAACUUUGGACCAAGUUAAUUGAUUAUUUGCAACUUUGCAACCACAAAUCAAUGACCCCACGACCCAUGAUUAAUUUCUCUCAUUCUCUGUCAAUCUUGUAGCACAAUUUUUGAAUGGCAAGCCAAGGCCGAGACACUUAGAAUUGGUUACCUUUGCUGAUAAACCCAAUUAAAUGUUGAUUAAAGCAAAUUGGAAAUUCAAAGGACGACUCAAAAACCCUUCUCUGCCAGUUUCCAAAGCAUGUCCUGUAUCUACACCACAGUUUCCAGAACCUUCUCCCUCCCAUGCUCAGAUCUGUGACUUCUCCACCAUCCUCAGAUCUGCGAGACCUAUAACCCACUAUCAUGAUCUGCGACUUCUCCACCAUCCUCGUUAGAAAUAUAGUGUUUGAAUUAAUCUGAUUUUGAAUAAAAUUGUGUUUAAGUACACGUGAUUUAUAUCUUGAUGAUUUGUAACUAAUGUGAUUUAAAAAAAAUGAUUAUGGUUUGGAUGAUAUUGAUUAAGCUCACUUUAAAAAUAAUCUAUCUUUAUUCAAAAACAUUAAAAAUACAAUAUCCUACCUACAACAGUACAACACACAUCCACAACCUCAAAAAUCACCAACCUUCAUUACGCACUUGGCACUCACCAGAGUCACAACCAACCCUCAUUCUCCUUCUCUCUUGGUCAUAAAUGUGAGCUACAAGAGCAAAGCUAAGAAUUUCACCAUGUUCAUAGACGAAGGAUCUCCCCACAUUGCUGAGUUCUUCUUUGCUCUGUUUUUUUUAGUCUCUUGAUUCACUAAAAAAGGAAGAAGGCGUGGAAGAAGGUGGUUUGUGCAAAGUCUUUAUAGUAUCUACUUCCACCUAGAUCACAGGUAUGUUCAAGAUUGGUUUCUAUGUAUUUAUGGUUUUUCUAAUCUUGUAUAUCAAAGAUCAAGAGUUGCUUAUGUACUAUGAGUGCAGAAUUUUCAUUUGUCCAUCAGCUGAAUUAGAUAGCCUGAGCUUUUGAGAUGCACUGAAUAUGAAAGAUCUAACUUUUAAGAUGUGCUUCAACUGAAAAUAAAUAACAAAUCUAUAAAAACAGAAAGAAAAAAAUUAUCAACGAAUCUAUAAGAGUUACUUCAUUCAAAAAAAAUUACAAAUAUAAUUGGAGCACUAACUAAUUUAUUUGAAAUAAUGCCUAUGAUGAUGAGCAAAUUAAAGGGGAAAAAAAAAAUCAAUGGAGAUGGACUUAACACCAAAGACAGCACAACCAUUCAUUGAAGCAGAUGGUGGUAGUUACUACACAUGGACAAGUUCUCAAGUUCCACUUCUGGCUAAGACCAAUGUGGGUGCUGGUCGCUUUGUGCUUCAGCCUAGGGGCCUUGCUCUUCCUCAUUAUGCAGAUAUCUCCAAAAUUGGUUAUAUCGUUGAAGGUCAGAGCCUUAUCAUUUCUAGUUAGUUUUUUUUUUUUUUUUCUGUACAUUAACUUCUAGCAUGUUAACUCAUUGUUUUUCUUAAGAAUCAAUUCUGACAUACAAAAUUUAAAAUUUAGAUUUACUUCAUUUUCAGUCAAAUUUUGCACUUUUGAAAAGCGAUUUUUUUUAUGUGUUACUAAAGUUCAAGUUUCGGAGUGUAUUUAUAUUUUUGAAAGUGAAUCUAACACAAUUUGUUUUCCCAAAACUUCUGAAAGUACGAAACUUAAUUGCAGUAGCUGCAGGAACCAACUACUGCAAUGAAUCUAGAUCACAGAAACUGCUCACAAUUUUUUUUGUUCUCAUAAUUAAUUUUGGCUUUAGGAUAAUUGUGCGAGGAUUUUCAAACAUGUUAUUAGUAAUAUGUUUGGUUGUGAGAAGAGAUAAUGCGAGGAGAAUAUAUGAUGACAUUAUUGACAUGUAAAGUAGUGAGAAACAAUGGUAAUUGAUCUUUAGCCCGUUUGGUUUCCUGUUUGCGUAUCACCUAAGAUAUAAGAUUCUACCAUGAUGAUACAAACAUGGAUGGAUGUUGAGUUCAACACAAAUCCAAACAUACAUUUACAUGUUCAAUCAUUUAAUGAACUCACUGAUGUAUAAUUGUAUUAAUUCUCUGAUAACUUUGCUAAUUACUGAGUCAAACUUCCUUAAUUGCAUAACAAACAUGCAGGAACUGAUGGCGUAGUUGGGAUGAUACUUCCCAACACAGGAAAAGAGGUGGUUUUGAAGCUCAAGCAGGGAGAUGUGAUACCAGUACCUCUUGGAGCAAUUUCAUGGUGGUUCAAUGAUGGAGACUCAGAUCUCAUCAUUACUUUUCUUGGGGACACUUCAAACGCUCAUGUUCCUGGCGAUUUCUCCUAUUUCUUUCUAUCUGGAGUUCAAGGAAUUCUAGGAGCUUUCUCCACAGAGCUAACAAGCAAAGCGUAUCACUUGAACAAUGAUGAUGAGGUGAGCAAGUUAACCAAAAGCCAAAAUGAGGUUGUGAUAAUCAAGCUAGAUAAAAACCAACCCAUGCCAAAACCCCAAAUUAACCUCACCAAAGAGCUAGUCUAUGACAUAGAUGUUGCAACCCCUGAAGUUGAAGUUAAAAAUGGUGGAUUAGUUAAAACUUUAACAGAGGAAGAGUUUCCUUUUAUUGGUGAUGUUGGGUUAAGUGUGAUUAGAGUGAAGCUUGAACCUAAUGCUGUUAAGGCACCUUCAUACCUUGCAAACCCUGCUGUUCAAUUGAUGUACAUUGCUAGAGGAAGUGGCAAGAUUGAAAUUGUGGGCUUGAAUGGAAAGCUUGCAUUGGACAGUCAUGUUGAGGCUGGUCAUUUGCUUCUUGUGCCUAAGUUCUUUGUGGUUGCUCAAAUUGCAGGGGAAGAAGGAAUGGAGAGCUACACUAUGGUAACAACUAAAAAGUAAGUCUUGUUUGGAUUCAACAGCAUGUUUGAUAUACUUUUAAAUCUUUUUGGAAUAUUUUUGCUAGUGUCAAAAACCACUUCUUUCCCAAAUGUGGAAACAUACCAAGUUUUUAAACGCACUUUGAUCGGUGUUGUCAGAAUUGAUUUUGGUAAUAUUGAUUAUAGUAACGCUGAGUUGAAAGCGAAGUGGUUUAUAUUUGAAUAUAAUUUAUGAAAACAAAUUUUUUGUAGAAUAAUAUUAAUUGUGAAAUCAAGUUAUAAAUGUUUCAAUGCAACAUCUACUUACUCUAUGUAAGUUCUAAGUUCUAACAGAAUUAAUAUGAAAUCUAAAUUACUUCCCCGGGUCUCAAACAUCUAUUUUGCCAUUCAAAAUCACUUUUACUCAAUCUGAUGUUUUCCUAUUAUGGUGUUAAUCCACCAUAAAGUAGCAAAUAAAGAUGAGAUGAAAUAAAAAUGGUUGAUUAUACUCUUAAAGUAUGACAUGUAAAUUAGGAGUGUUGAUGAAAAUAAUUGUAUGUAUAUUUAUUUGCAGGCCUUUGUUUGAAGAGUUCUCUGGUAAGGCAUCAGUUUGGGGCUCCUUAGCACCUGAAGUGCAAGAAGUGUCUCUUAAAGUGGAUUCAGAAUUUCAAAAGCUUUUCAUAUCCAAGAUCAAGAAAACCUCAAGUAUCAUCCCCCCUUCCUCUUGAAUGAUGCACUGUUGUGUCAUUAAAAAUAAAUAAAUUAAAACAGUAUUGGCUUGUUUUUGGGUCAAAACAAACAGUUUAGCUUGUGGUUGUGAUAGUCGUAGGUUUGGUUGCUAUCUUGGUGUUAUGCCACGAUAUACAAGCCCAACUCUUUUUCUUUUGUCAAAGAGUGAUGUCUCAACAUGUGGGGGUGGCUCACUUCCAAUGUGGCAAAGUGUUGUGCCAAGAAAAAGCUGGGUAUCUUUUAAUUCUAAGUGUUGUUAGACUCGUUCUUAAAGUGAGCUUGCCCCAGUGAUAUUCUCAGUAUGAUUUUUAGUAUGAGUGAACAUGUUUUAAUCUUAAUGUGUUAUGUUUUAUCUGUUUGUAUUGUAAUAUCACUCCUGGUGAUUUUGGACAGUCUUCAAUGAUCAGUAAGUGGAAAAGUUUGAGCAGAUUUAAACAAAAAAAAAUGUGACAAACCUUUAAGAGGUUGGGAGAAAUGCUCAAUUUUUUGACACUUUCUUCAUUAUCCGCUAUUACAAUUUGUUGUUAGUGAAGUAUCCCCUGAAUUAAAG
rnacentral:lncRNA from 1 species